GGGGCUGUAGCUCAGUUGGGAGAGCGCUUGAAUGGCAUUCAAGAGGUCGGGGGUUCGACUCCCCUCAGCUCCAUCA
rnacentral:tRNA from 1 species